AUAUGUACCUUGAAGGUGAGAUAGCAAGAUCACAAAGAUGUUGUUCAGGAUGGGGCUUAUCCAUUUGCAUUCUGGAUGUGCUGACCCCUGCAAUUUCCCUAAAUGUAGAAAAUUCAACUGCAUAAAUUCAU
rnacentral:snRNA from 11 species